rnacentral:lncRNA from 10 species
AGUCAGGGAACAUCUGUCCCUUCUUCGUGAAUAUCUGUGUUCAAGUCUCUUGCUCAUUUGUUAAAUUGGGCUUUUCAUCUUAAUUUUGGUUUGCAGUUUUCUCCCCUAUAUCCGAGGUCUGAGUCCUUUGUCAGGACACACAGUGUGAUUUCUUGCCUGGCAUUCCGUUCCUUGCUUGUCCAUUUUCAAGAGCAGAACAUUUUCACGUUGAUGGAAGCCCGAUGUCUUUCUUCUACGACACAGGUGGUGGCCAGACCUGGCACACGGAUGCAGCUGACCCUGGAAGCUGAAGGGCAGUGAAACCCAUCUGAUUAAGAUGCUCAACUUUUCUGAAGAAAAAGCUGACACCAAGACCUGCCUAAGGUCACACCAUCAUGAGUGGCUGAGUUGGGCUGUGAUGAGCCACCCGGCUGGAGAGCUUGUGCCCUGGUUACACGAUUGCCAGUGAGAUGCCUAUGGACUCGCAUGUAGAGGUGGGUACCCAGACAGCUCAGAGUGAGCUGCCUGCGGGCCCAGCAUGCAGAGGUGUGUACUCAGUGCUGUGUGAGAUGCCUGUGGGCCCA